rnacentral:snRNA from 1 species
AUACUUACCUGGCAGGGGAGAUACCAUGAUCACGAAGGUGGUUUUCCCAGGGCGAGGCUUAUCCAUUGCACUCCGGAUGUGCNCUUUUAUAUAUAUUAUUUAUAUUUAAAUAGGUACUUAAAGUAUACUUGAAACAUACUUUAAACUUAAAAGAUGUUA